rnacentral:lncRNA from 1 species
UGAGCUGUCCACCGAUGUUUCAGUAGUAUUAUCCCUUAGUGAGUGAGAGAUUGGGGGCAAUUAAUCGUGUUAGUGUUUAAGUGGUGUCCUAAUUAUGUGCAUUUGUUCCAACAAAGUUGUCUAGAUUACUUUAUUGUGUAGUGUAAAGCUUAUGAAACCAUCAGCGACUACUGAGUUGCUAACACGCAUAUGGAUUUGUCACUAUACAUGUGAAACUCGGCUGUACCACUGCAGUGCUGCGGAAAUUGCCUUCACCAGCGGCUUUGCAACAGCUGUUUCGCAGCAUGUCGGAGACAAUGCCUACGAAAUUAUUGGCCCUGAUCAUGAGAGCCCUCAAGGGGCAAACAACAUCUCUGUUGCAGGAGUGAGCCCGAUACCACUUGGAAGUUACCAUGACAGAUGACACGGCAGCAAUAGAUGCAGAGACUGCCAUGUCUACUGCAGCUGCAACAGUGUACGAGGCAAGCAGCAGCGCGUCAGCAUCAGCAGCAGUGUCAGAAGGAACCACACCAGGCCUGGUAGAGCAACAUGUGUUCUAUCACUGACUUUUUUUGUAUUGGAUACAACUCAUUUGCUCAACAUACAAAAGCUUUUCACCACGACUGUGAGCCAGUGUUAUUGUGCAGCAAGUGCAAGACUAAGUUAGGUGUUAUAACACAGUACAAGCAUCACUUUAAUAUAUGCAAAUGCAAACAUAUUACAGUUGUUGCCUCCCCAGCCAGCCCACAUAGUGACAACAAUGUGGAACACAUGGUGGGACACACCUCUCCCCCAUUACAAGAUAGUAGAAACUGUCAGUGUUGUUGCUAGAUUGACUGGUCUUUGUAGGCAACUAGAAGGACAACACAGGUGUCAUAAGAUUGUUGUUGAUGUUGUUGUUGAAGAAGUAAAAAAGAAGUUUGAUGCAGCUGAAGUGCCAACUGAUAUUGAGCAAAUCAAAAGCAACCACCUGAGAAAGCAACACUAUCGAAAUUUGGGUAUCUAUGUGCCGCCAACUCUGGUAAGAAUGGCAUAGGACAGAAGUGUGCUGAAAAUCACACAGACACUGCUGUUGCAUCACUGGCCACAGUGAACAGCGACUUGUAGGGCAAGAGAGUCAACUGAAACUAACAUUAUGAUAUAGUGUCAUGCUCCCAUGUGACCACUUCUCAAGUUAUUUUGCAAGAUACAGCUCAACCUCCAGAAACGAGACUGCAACUUGUCUGUAAAAAAGCUUUAACAAAAAAUUAUUCAUAACACUAUUAACAUAGCAGUAUCUUUUUUUUUGUGUCGGUUCGAGGUUCCCGGCUGUCCAUUAAUGCAAAAAUUGAGGAAAAAAAGAACAUGUGUCGUAGUUACACCUUUUUAACAAGUACGAGGGGGACAGAACUUUUCUAUUCAUGCAUCUUCAUCAUACUAUCAAGUUUUUAAAUGCCUUUUAUAAUUAUUAUUACCAGUUAUAUCUGAGUGCAUUGUAUGCAUGUAGCAGGUGUAAAAUCAGGUCAGUUGGAUCAGAUGCCUUAUCUGCAAGCGAGCCCUAUAUUCAAGAAAUUUGAAUUAAGAUAGUUACGUUAGAGACGCAGUCUUUCAGCACUUUAUUGCCUGUGGUUUAAGCAUUGCUCAAUACUUUUGUGGGUGGCAAUUUCAACCGGCACAGCACUGUGCUUUGCCACAGUCGCAUUUGUCUUCAAAGCGGUGUUUACCAUUUGUGUUGAUCUGUUUGUGUAUGCAUAGAGCGAGUUUUUAAUGUCUAUUUUUCUGCAUUCUUGUGCUUGCACUAAGCUUGUAUAAGACAGUUACAAAAUGUGCGUCACUAUAACGAACUGUUCUGUUGAGCUUACACUUGCAAAUAAUCGUGUUCAGAUGGCCGCACUUCUACGCGGGUGCACCGCUAGCUUUGUGUAUGUUCUCAUGUUUGUAUAAAGCUCAUAUAAGCUAGUUAGACAAUGUAUGUCACUAAGCAUUGUGAUAUUCUUUAAAGAAUUACUUGGUUGGUUUUACACUUGCGAAUUAGUAUUGAGGCGGUGGUAUUCCCAUGUAUGCCCACUGCUAGCUUUCUGUGUCCUCACGUGUUUGUAUUAAGUUUCUACAAGGGAGUUACAGCAUGUACGUCACUAAGCGCUGUGAUAUUUUUUAAAGAACUGCUUUGUUGGUUUUACACCUAUGAGUAAUAGUACUCGGGUGGCACUAGUCAUAUGUAGGUAGACAGGGACCAUUUGUAUACAUUAUGCUCAUGUAAAGCAGUUACAAAGUGUAUGUCACUAAUUACUGUGAUAUUUGUUGAAUUGCUGUGAUGGUUUUACACAUGUGAAUAAUAGUGGUCAGGACACCGUACUUGCGGUGUAUAGUUGAAUUUAUACGCUGCCAAGACAUGGGCUGUAUACGUACCAAAAGAAAUGUAUGUCAUUAUAUUGUUA